AUGAUCACUUCAGCAGCACAUAUACUAGAAUUGGAAUGAUACAGAUAAGAUUAGCAUGGCCCCUGCUCAAGAAUGAUACACAAAUUUGUGAAGCAUUGCUUAUUAGG
rnacentral:snRNA from 1 species